rnacentral:rRNA from 1 species
CCUACGGGCGGCUGCAGUGGGGAAUAUUGGACAAUGGGCGAAAGCCUGAUCCAGCCAUGCCGCGUGUGUGAAGAAGGCCUUCGGGUUGUAAAGCACUUUCAGUGGGGAAGAAAGCCUUGGGGCUAAUACCCUCGAGGAAGGACAUCACCCACAGAAGAAGCACCGGCUAACUCCGUGCCAGCAGCCGCGGUAAUACGGAGGGUGCGAGCGUUAAUCGGAAUUACUGGGCGUAAAGCGCGCGUAGGCGGUCUGAUAAGCCGGUUGUGAAAGCCCCGGGCUCAACCUGGGAACGGCAUCCGGAACUGUCGAGCUAGAGGGAAGGGAAGUGAGGUAACCUUCAGGGUGGAGGGGUGAAAGCAGUAGAGAGCGGGACGAAUACAGGUGGCGAAGGUGGCCGUAUGAUAGGACCAGGCCGCUGUGGUGCGCAAGCGUGGGUAGCAAACAGGCGUAGAUACCCUGGUAGUC